CAAAAUCCCAGGUUGUGUCAAAGUAUUAAUACAUUCAGAAGAGAAGAAGCCUUAACAAUGCAACUUACAGGAAGAACAACUGAAUAAUUGAUCCCAGCAGCCGUUUAACUGGAGACCUAUGGUUUAAAAAGUAUCAUCUGUCUAUGAAGAGAAGGAAGCAUAUAAUCUUCAUUAUACAGAGGUUUCCAUGUAAAAUACUGCAUUUUUAGAAGACUGACAUCUAAAGGGAGAAGCUUCAAUUAUCUGAAAAAGUCAAUGAUUGCCUAGUGAUGUCAACUAAAUGAGCUUUACUGUGUCGAGAUUCUUACUGAAGCCAAAAGAAAAUCAGCAUGAAAACAGAUCAGCCUCUGGCCAGGGUCAUCCAGCACCUCUGGGUCUUGUCUUUCAAUAAAGGAAUGGCUAGAAGUGUGACCCCUUCCCCAAGACACUCUCCUGCCACUGAUGGAUCAACAGGUACUGACAUGCAAGGGUGCCCUAAUCCACAAGAGAGAAAAAAACACACACA
rnacentral:lncRNA from 1 species